ncrna:unclassified sequences PhotoRC-II RNA
AAACAAUCGUAACCCUGACUACAACUGCUCUCAAACCAAGACCUAUAGGCAGUAUAAUACUUCGUCUUUCAUAUCCAGUAGUGAGGGAUUACUGGAAAUAAGUUUCGCUU